rnacentral:rRNA from 1 species
ACAGAGGGGGCAAGCGUUGCUCGGAAUCACUGGGCGUAAAGGGCGCGUAGGCGGCAUGCCAGGCGUGUGGUGAAAGCCCGGGGCUCAACCCCGGGUCGGCCGUGCGGACUGGCGUGCUCGAGCACUGUAGGGGCGGGUGGAAUUCCGGGUGUAGCGGUGGAAUGCGUAGAGAUCCGGAAGAACACCGGUGGCGAAGGCGGCCCGCUGGGCAGGAAGGCUCGCAAGAGCCGGCUGACGCUGAGGCGCGACAGCGUGGGGAGCAAACAGGA